rnacentral:lncRNA from 1 species
CAAAAAAUAGUUUAAGUUUGGGGGAUUUGAUAAGUAUGUUUUUACACACUUAUUUGGUUCACAAACAUGACUUAAACAUGGAUAAAAUGAUUGAAUUGUGACUUAAUCUCAUUGAAUUCAUGCAAUGUAGGUGUUUCUAUGGAAAUAGUGGAAUUCAGGAGAAGAGAGCCGAAAAAGGACUAAAAUGGAGCAAAGUGAUAGUUCAGGGACUAAGGAUGCAAAUAUUCGAAAGUUGAACUAAAAGACAACUCGGGAAUGCAAAUAUGCUAAGUAUGAACUUGAAAG